GAGUUCGACCGGACACUACCUGGUUAAUUUAUGUCCACAUAUAAAUGGAUGUGGAAAACAAAAACAUCUAAAUUGCACUGCUUACAAUAUGUGAAGAAGGCCGACAGGAUCGUGGAUAUACGGAAGAGUUUUAGAAAAGGCAGAGAGGGCGGAGCCACAGGGAUUGGAGGACGGACCUCGACUGGAAAGUCUUGACCUCCGCUAUGUGGGAGGACUUCUGGAUGAUGCAGCUGGUGGUGCCGCUGUCCUUGCCCUGCGCCAGGUUGGUGAGGGCCAUGGCGGCGUUGAUCUCUUUCCAGUACGUCUCGUCUUUGCCCUUCUCUUUGUGCGCCGCGCCCACGCUGGUGACACACAAACACACGACGGAAGACACCUUUAGAUACUGUACAUACUGUACAUACUGUACUGUAAUGUCACUCAACUACUUCCUGUAUCAGACUCUUUAUCUACAAA